rnacentral:rRNA from 1 species
GACGUAGGGCGCGAGCGUUGUCCGGAAUUAUUGGGCGUAAAGAGCGUGUAGGCGGUCCGGUAAGUCAGCUGUGAAAGUCAAGGGCUCAACCCUUGAAAGCCGGUUGAUACUGUCGGGCUAGAGUCCGGAAGAGGCGAGUGGAAUUCCCGGUGUAGCGGUGAAAUGCGCAGAUAUCGGGAGGAACACCAAUGGCGAAGGCAGCUCGCUGGGACGUUACUGACGCUGAGACGCGAAAGCGUGGGGAGCAAACAGGG